ACUGCACAGGACCAGGGCUACCAUCUGACAAACUGCAAGGACACAGGGCAGCCCUGGAGACAGAGCUAGAGCCAAGCCUGGGGAGCCGCACAGAGCUGCGCAAAGCGUCCUGAGGUUGGAUACUUGGACUUGACACACUUGGACGUCAGUGCCUGCUGUCGAGAUUACGUGUUGGAAGACUGUAUUGGUGUGAGAGCCAAAAUCUCAAACAGACACAGCCAGCAGAAAGCAGCCGCAGAGCCCCCAGCUUCCUGGGGCACCCCAGGAGAGGCCACGGCUCUCCCUACCCAUGUGGAGGAGACAUCACAGGGCCCCCAGUCACGGAAACGCUGCCUCCCACAGCCGACUGCCUCACGCCCAGCUUCCCCGCCCCGACAAUGCAGCCAAUUCUCUUUUUCUGACCCUUGUAACUGGGGGAGGUAUGCAUACUCUUCAUAGCAAGUGAUGGCAUUUGGGGGAGUCCUGGCAGUUGCUAAGAUAAACUCAUUAGGAAAAAAAAAGUCUAUAAAAGAACAGAACAGAUACAGAAUUAACCUAACACCAAAACCCCCAACUGAAAUUUUCAUGCUGUUCAUGGAUUAUAAAAAUUGAAACCCCAGAAGGUGAAUUUUGGUGAAUAAUGUCAGAAAAUGGGCACAGACAAAGGUUGUUAUUUAUAUACAUUCCUAAGACUCUGUCAGAAGAGUAUGGACUUAGAGGGGGGAAGAAUUCACAUGGGGAGGCCACCCUUGGAGGAUUAAGGAAUAAAAGAGCUGGGACAUUUUCAAAUACAUUUUUACUCUGUAGACCACGCAAGUUACUCAAAUGAAAUCUCACCGGUGACAUCAGUGUGAACAUUUUAAUGAAAAUUACCUCGCGUAAUUACCAAGAUUCAUAUUAAAUUAGUUUCCUGAGUACUGAAAUUUCUUUGGUGUUUAUUUUGCAACGAGCUGGGGCUGGGAAGUACCUUCCUCAUUUCUCUAA
rnacentral:lncRNA from 1 species